GGAAGAAACACACAAAUACUAUCUGAAUUUAGGGGGAUGGGAAGAACCUUUCUGGCUGGGGGUAUCCAGGAAGGUUUCAUGGGGCUAGGAUGAUCUAGGUCCUUGAAACUUCUCACAAAGAGAGAUAGAACAAAGGCAUUCAAAACAGCAUGAAUAGGAACACCAAGACAGAAAAGAACAAAGUUAAUACAUCUGCUCAAUCUCUCUCUUAAGAGAAAAUGAGUGGCGACCAUUGUAGGCAACAACUUCCUCUUGACUGUGGGCUCCUAGUGGAGGAAGAUGUCCCACUAGCCCGGAAGAGCUCAAGGAGGAGAUGGAUACUUGAAGACUUGCAGCAAGAGCUCACAGAGCUGGGCAUCCCCUUAGAUAAACCCACCAGGACUGGAUCCAAGUGGGAAAUCACAGGAUGUUGGCUCUUUUCUACUAUCCAUCUUUACUCCCUGUUUUUAUGGAUGUGCCCUGGAUUCAAAGUCUAUGCCACACUCCCACCCACCUUCAGGCACUUCUGGAGCCACCACCUCAAAACUCCCCCCAUCAACACCUAAGGAGGAGCCAGCAGCAACCCUGGCCCAACCACUGACUAGGCCUGUAACUCGAUCCAGUUUUCACACAACACCCCACACUGGAUCCCGAGCUCCUUCUUCUGGGAAGAGAUCUCGAACUCUGGGCAACCCUCCACCUAUAAGACAACUAGUCCCACUGCCUGUUUGGCCCCAACCCUUUCAUUUCACCAUCCCUAAGAUCAAGCCUCAAAGAGUUCACAACCCUCCUGUUGAAUGUCUAGGUCCCAGGUUCCCAAGAUGGAGAGAGAAAAAACAGUCCUUUUUGCCUUCUUCUCCUCCUAUCUCUACUCCCCUUAAAAUAAAGUAUAGUAUUUGAUUCAA